rnacentral:rRNA from 1 species
GAAACGAUCGACCACUUGCUGUUGGGCUGUGUGCUAGCUCGGCAAGUGUGGACCAGCAUCACCAACGCUUGGGGCAAACCUACCUGGAUGUGAACGGUUGAUGCGAACUUGGUGCAAUGGUGGACUUCCCUUAGCCCGCAGAAUCUGUUAAGGAAGGAGACAUGGACCAUGGUGACGCUCGUUGCAUGGAUGAUAUGGAAGCACAAGAACGACAUCGUUUUCAAUGGUGCUUACCCACCAGCAGACAUCGUGCUUAGGAGGAUCGAGCUUGAGGGCCAAGAUUGGAGGGUUGCGGGUUUACUUAGGGAGCUAGGUUCUCUCCCAUGUGUGGUAGAUAGGUUGGAUAGUGGAGACUGA